UGCGGUGCGAUGGAAUUGAGCUCCUCACAGGAUCAGUACAGGAUUUACAAUGCAAAAAAAUGAAUGUGUAGGGUACUGAAGGCCGAGUGGCCUGGUGAUGGACACAGGUUUUGCAAGGCGGUAUGUGAAAUGCCUUCUUAUCCUGGCCAUUUAUCUGUGCGAUGACAUCUGGGGAUAAUAUCACCAGUGGAAAGAUGAGAGACACUUUGUGAAAGUGAGGUCUAUGCCAACCCCCAACCUGUGUGAGUGCCGGCCUCAUAUUUGGCCUCUUGGUACUGGUAGGCUCUGGCCCCAGUGACCAUCGAAGGCAGAGGAAGAGGAGGGGGACGUAUCACCCGUGGGCACUGCCUGGAAGGGCAAGGGGCAGUGUAUGUGUUUGGUGUGUGUGUGUGUGUGUGUGUGUGUGUGACUGAUAUGGCCUGGUCCCCAGCUUAUACACGGCCGGCUGGUGUUCUCUGGUGAAGGUGAAUCGGUCAGAGAAGUGCUGACAAGGACAUUUCCCAUUCUCUCACUUUAAAGUGUCUCUGAGUCAUUUCCAGAUCAUUCUUGCCCCAGUCCUUGCAAGAGCUCCCUCCCCCUCACCCCACUGUGCCCCAGAGCAUGCCUGGGCAAAGUCCUAGAAUUCUGACGUCAGGCAUCACCUGAUGGGGUUAAAGGUUUUCCUAAGGACUUUCCCUCUGAGUUCUCCUGCCGUUUUACUCAUUCCACUCGGCACUGUGUUUCAGAAACUGCAAUUAUCAACAGGUUGUAAAAGCUAAGGAAGCAAUUUGAAGCUGGAAAUAUUUUGGAAGUACCCUACUGAGGUCUCAUCCAUCUUUGGAGUCAUCCAUACCCCAUUUCUCUGUUCUUAUCUUUCUUUUAGCCUCGUUCUAUCCCUAGGGUGAUCCCUCCUCCCCUAGGCAGAACCAGUUAGUGAUUGGCACAUUACAGUCCUCAUUAGAGGUGAACCCAUUUCUGAGAAUGUUGAGGAAGAGGGAAAAUUGGAUCAUAAGGAGUCCACAAGAAGACUCUGUAAUGUGUCUGAGGCUCUCAUGCAUCCGCCCUCCGUAAGUGCACCGGGACUGAUGUCACUUUUGAGUGCUCUGCACAUACCUGGGAAAGAAUAAAUUUUGUACUUCUCUGAAAAGCCACUUCACAGACCUGCUUGAUCCUCUUUCCAGCUUCCUAGGAGCUGGGUCAGGAUUAUCAGGCUCCUUUUGUUUUAUU